rnacentral:sRNA from 1 species
AAGUCAAAGUAGUAGCAGUUGAACAUACUAUUCCCAAGAAGUACUUAAGUUCAAUUGAUCGUAAAUUAGAUCAAACUGCUGGAAGAACAGAUUCUUCAAAUAGACUUGAGUGAGUGCCAGCUUUAAAAAAAUUGUCUGAAAUACAUGCUACAGGAUUUAACUAUCAGAAUGAAGAUGAAAAAGUCACCUUGUCUUUCCCUAGUACUCUACAAACAGGUAAUAACUCUUUCCAAUACUUUGUAUUUUGUUUAGUAUGCCACUUUUUGGAAGUGGUCACUGUCAAUAUCUUGUUAUGGUUUGAUGGCCUUGGAGAUUUAAAACCGAGUAAAAGUGUACGGGAACCUUAAAGAUAGAUUUUGUUGGAGAGCUGAAUGACAAAAUGAAAGGUUUCUAUAGAAGUAAAUAUACUACCCCUUCUGGAGAGGUGCGCUAUGCUGCUGUAACACAGUUUGAGGUAUGGGUUAUUCUUCUCUAAAAUAUUAUUAUUCUUAAAUUUAGGCAUUCUGACAAAGCUGUGUUUUAUUAUGUGGGGUGAUUAUUUGAGGCUAGGUGCCCUUGGCCAUGAUCGUAUUCACAAUUUUAGAAUUUUUGUUAUAUAUUUAGCCAUUAUCUCUAUAGAAAGGAGGGAAUUAAGGGUAUGGGUUGGGGAAUGAUUAUAUACAGUUAGACACACACACACUCAAACACACGACACAUUUUGAUACCUGAAUUGCCUGUAUACUGUGUACCUUUCUUAAAAUCAUUCUCUUAGUAUUUGACACCUAUGGCUUUUCCUACAGCAUUAUUAGCUGUUUUCUAGAAUUCCUUUCCUUCAUUGACAUCUUUUGUUUAUCUUACUGUAGUAUCUGUGCUGUCUUUGAUUUUUUUCUCCGUGUGUGUUUGUGUGUGUGUGCAUGUAUACAUAUAUAUACAUAUAUACACACACAUAUAUGUACACACACACAUAUAUGUACACACACAUAUAUAUGUACACAUAUAUGUGUGUGUGUGUGUGUAUAUUUGCUGUCCUAUGUAGGCCAGGAUGAUUUUUAUUUGUCAAGUAUUUGCAAAUUAUAUAAAUUGUUUUGAAUCUGCUAGUCGUAUUUUUGUUAAAUCUAAUUAAAUUUAUUUCUAUAAAUUUCAAUAUGGAUAAAGAAACAAUUCAUGAUAUCCAUUCUUAUGUUUCUGCCCAUAUCCCUAUAUUGUUUGCUUGUUUGGGAUACUCUAGAAUUUUUUAUCCAGUUUACUACUAAUUUGUUUUACCUGAUGUGUCUUCUCUUUCAAUAAUUUUAUGUUACCUUCUGUUUAGAAUAAUAUUUGCCACAGAUACUUAGUUUUAAUUCUGUGUUUGAAUGAUUCCAAUGCCUUUCUCUACCCACUUUGAACACUUCAUCCUGGAAUGGUUGGCUGAUGUAUGUCUCUAAACAAUUUUUUUUUUAGGAGAAGGUAUGUGGGUAAUUAAUUCCUGAGCCUUUGCUUUUCUGAAAAAUCUUUCAUUUGCCUUUAUACAUGACCAGAUUUACUGGGUAUAUAGAUUUGUUGAUGAAAAAAGGUAAAAAGAGCAACGUUUGACAUCCAGAGGUUGUCUGGCACUCACAGCUAGCCCAUGUUAUUCUCCCUAUUAGACAUAAUAUUACAGAAUACCAACUUUAGACAAGGCUACUUGAGACCAUAAUAAAGUGAGACAAAACAAGGGCAUCCAUAAUUUUGCCUAGGUACAGUACGUACAGGAUCACUAUGCUACCCGCAAAAUAUCAAACAUCUUCAUCUCUCAGUUAAAAUGAGUGACUACUGCUUCUUUACCAAUUACAGUUUUAGAUUUGCUCUAGUCUGGCCUCCAUAUAGAUAAGAUUUAUUGAGAUACCUACCCAUAGAAUUGCCUCAUAGGACUUCUUGCAGCACUCAAUCUAGAGUGAAUCCCUGCUUACUUAGACCCUCUUCCAAAUCAUGUAAACCAAAUCCCAAAUCGUAUAGUGGGUUCUUUCUUACAUUCUUAUGGAGACACCAGUGGUUCCCUAUGGUGUGAGUUCUCUCUUGCCAUGAGUAAUAGGCCCAGCUCAUUCAAUUGUAAGAGUAGUACAAUCAGCUUACAAUUUUUCACUUUCAAAAGUCUGUGAAUAUUGUUUCUAAAGUCUUCUACAUCUCACUUUUUCAAGAGGAAGGGUCACAGACUAAAAUGUUUCUUCUUCCUUUGUAGGUAAGAUGAUGUUUCGUUUUGCUUUAUUUUCUUCCUGCUUGCUUGUUAAAUUAUAUCUUGAUCUUGAAAAUUAAACUGUUUUUUAAACCAGGUGUUCACUUUUCAUUGAUUUUUGCAUAGUACUUGGUGAACCCUAUUGAUUUUUAGAUUCAGAUAUUUUUUCAGUGUGAAAGAGUUUUUCUGUUAUAUCUUCACUGUGAUAUCCAUUCCAUUCUCUUCUCAGUUAAUACUCAGUUUAGCUCUAGUAUCUAUCUCUCCAAUGUAUGUUUAAUUGCUUUUAUCACUUUGUCCUUUAGAUAUUUUCAAACUUAAAUCUUGUUAUCUAUGUCAUUAAUUUCCUUUAGUGUAAAUUCAUUUCUCUACUGCUGCUGCUUCUAAUUUAAAUGCUUCUGUGUUGCCAUUUCUUUCCUUAUACUCUCCCUUCUUUUCAGAUGUCUUAUUUAUUCAUUGAUAGAAUUCAUUAUUUAUUUAAUGUUUUUGAGAAUGUAGUCAGCCAUCUAAAAUGUUUUCCUUGCUUUUCCGUAAGUUUCUUCUACCUCUUUGGUUUUUUUUUUUUUUUUUUUUUUUAAGUCGGAGUCUUGCUCUGUCGCCCAGGCUGGAGUGCAGUGGUGCAAUCUCGGCUCACUGCAACCUCCGCCUCCCAGGUUCGAGCCAUUCUCCUGCCUCAGCCUCCCGAGUAGCUGGGAUUACAGGCACGUGUCACCAUGCCUGGCUUAUUUUUGUAUUUUUAGUAGAGAUGAGGUUUCACCAUGUUGACCAGGCUGGUCUCGAACUCCUGACCUCUGGUGAUCCGCCCACCUCGGCCUCCCGAAGUGCCGGAAUUACAAGCAUGAGCCACUGCACCCGGCCUGUUGUUUCUUUUCAUGAUACAGAAUCUUGUCAUUGAUUCCAUUUUAUUUACUAAAUAAAUGGAAAAUUCUGUUUACUAAAGUUUCUUUCUUUUAUAACUGAUACCCUGCAGAACCCCUAAGUUUUAUUUUGCUUUCAUAAGUUUGCUCUUUUUUAAAUUUUUAACGAAAGAGUAAGGACUCAAGUAGGUCAAGUGGCGACAGUUUUGUGUAGCAUAUGGAAGUCCCAUUAAAUGAAUGACCUGUUUUGAAUUGAUAGAGCAUCUGUCUUUAUUCCCAUUGCUGCCAUUCCAGAUAAAGAACAAAGCACAUCAAAGAUUGAGAAUAUUUUUAUUUUUAAUUCAAAAAUAAAAGCCAGAGCGGCAACUUACCAUGUUUUCCCAACUUUGAAUUCUUAUAGCAUACUGUUUACUGUUCUGUGCUCUGUGUUGUCUUAACAUUAUUGAUUUGAAGGCAUUUGCAUUAAAUUUGAAAUGUUAAAAUGUAAACAAAAAUUUAAUUGUAAAUAAUUAUAAUAUAUUGUUAAAAUCCAUAGCAGACACCAUUCCUGGAUAAUUGCUGGAAUGGCAGUGGUAGCAAGUGUUGUCUUUUCUUUCUAGUUAAUGCCUAGCUUGUUGCCUGGCACUGAAGAGAAAGUAAAUAUUUGAACAAGGGAAUGAAUGAAUGACAGAGGGAAAUGGCGACGCUUUAUGAAAUAACUUGUUAGGUUAAUUCUAAGGUAUUUAUAUUUCAUAUUCUUUUCUUAAGGCUACUGAUGCCCGAAGGGCUUUUCCUUGCUGGGAUGAGCCUGCUAUCAAAGCAACUUUUGAUAUCUCAUUGGUUGUUCCUAAAGACAGAGUAGCUUUAUCAAACAUGAAUGUAAUUGACAGGAAACCAUACCCUGAUGAUGAAAAUUUAGUGGAAGUGAAGUUUGCCCGCACACCUGUUAUGUCUACAUAUCUGGUGGCAUUUGUUGUGGGUGAAUAUGACUUUGUAGAAACAAGGUCAAAAGAUGGUGUGUGUGUCCGUGUUUACACUCCUGUUGGCAAAGCAGAGCAAGGAAAAUUUGCGUUAGAGGUUGCUGCUAAAACCUUGCCUUUUUAUAAGGACUACUUCAAUGUUCCUUAUCCUCUACCUAAAAUUGAUCUCAUUGCUAUUGCAGACUUUGCAGCUGGUGCCAUGGAGAACUGGGGCCUUGUUACUUAUAGGGAGACUGCAUUGCUUAUUGAUCCAAAAAAUUCCUGUUCUUCAUCCCGCCAGUGGGUUGCUCUGGUUGUGGGACAUGAACUCGCCCAUCAAUGGUUUGGAAAUCUUGUUACUAUGGAAUGGUGGACUCAUCUUUGGUUAAAUGAAGGUUUUGCAUCCUGGAUUGAAUAUCUGUGUGUAGACCACUGCUUCCCAGAGUAUGAUAUUUGGACUCAGUUUGUUUCUGCUGAUUACACCCGUGCCCAGGAGCUUGACGCCUUAGAUAACAGCCAUCCUAUUGAAGUCAGUGUGGGCCAUCCAUCUGAGGUUGAUGAGAUAUUUGAUGCUAUAUCAUAUAGCAAAGGUGCAUCUGUCAUCCGAAUGCUGCAUGACUACAUUGGGGAUAAGGACUUUAAGAAAGGAAUGAACAUGUAUUUAACCAAGUUCCAACAAAAGAAUGCUGCCACAGGUAAUCUUUAAUAGCUUGAGAUAGAAAUGGAGAGAAAGUAUUGUCACUCUAUCCAGGCUGAGGCAUUUUAUUUUUGUUCUGAAUACUUAACUCAAGGUCAGGAUCAAUGUAAUAAAUAAAUUAGCCUUAUUUG